rnacentral:rRNA from 1 species
UGUGGACUGCUAUCAAAUGCAUGAGUGAAGCAGAAUGAGCUGGGAAGCUCAGCCAGAGAGAGUGAGAGCCUCGUAGGCGUAAGCGAAUGCAUGGAGCAGGAUCCGGAGUACCACGGGACACGAGAAACCCUGUGGGAAGCUGGGGGGACCACCCUCCAAGGCGAAACACUGAUAUGGACCGAUAGCGCAUAGUACCGUGAGGGAAAGGUGAAAAGAACCCCGGGAGGGGAAUGAAAGAGAACCUGAAACCGUAUGUCUACAAGCAGUCGAAGACCUUUAUAUGGUCGACGGCGUGCCUAUUGAAGAAUGAACCGGCGAGUUACUUCAGCUAGCGAGGUUAAGCAGAAAAUGCGGAGCCGCAGCGAAAGCGAGUCUGAACAGGGCGUAUAGUUAGUUGGAGUAGACCCGAAACCACAGUGAUCUACCCAUGUCCAGGUUGAAGCACAGGUAAAAAUGUGUGGAGGACCGAACCAGUGAGCGUUGAAAAGCUUUUGGAUGAGAUGUGGGUAGGGGUGAAAUGCCAAUCGAACGUGGAGAUAGCUGGUUCUCCCCGAAAUAGCUUUAGGGCUAGCCUCAUGGCGAGAGUACAGGCGGUAGAGCACUGAACGGGGUAGGGGCCUAUCCGGCUACUGAACCUAAUCAAACUGCGAAUGGCUGUACUUAUCCAUGGGAGUCAGACUGUGAGUAAUAAGGCCCAUAGUCAAGAGGGAAACAGCCCAGACCAACAGCUAAGGUCCCCAAUGCCGUACUAAGUGGCGAAGGAUGUGGAAUUUCGAAAACAACCAGGAUGUUGGCUCAGAAGCAGCCACCAUUAAAAGAGUGCGUAAUAGCUCACUGGUCGAGAGACUCUGCGCCGAAGAUGUCCGGGGCUAAAGUACGGAACCGAAGCUUUGGCAAUUAACAUAAGUUAAUUGGGUAGGGGAGCGUUCCUGCAUGGGAGAAGCCUGACCGGAAGGACAGGUGGACAGGCAGGAAGAGAGAAUGCCGGUAUGAGUAGCGAAAAGAAGGGUGAGAAUCCCUUCCACCGAAAGCCUAAGGGUUCCUGGGCAACGAUCGUCGUCCCAGGGUAAGUCGGGACCUAAUCCGAGGCGGAGACGCGUAGGAGAUGGACAACAGGUUGAAAUUCCUGUACUGGCUGAGGCCGUUUGAGCGAAGGAGUGACACAGGAAGGAAGGCGCGCGUGCGAUUGGAAGAGCACGUCCAAGCAGGUAGGUCGGGAGACAGGCAAAUCCGUUUCCCGUAAGGCCGAGAUGCGAUGGGGAGCUUCUGGAGACAGAAGCGAAGGGGCUGGCACUAAACUGUCGAGAAAAGCUUCUAGUGAGGACUCAGGCACCCGUACCGAAACCGACACAGGUAGGCAGGAUGAGAAUUCUAAGGUGCGCGGGAAAACCCUCGUUAAGGAACUCGGCAAAAUAUAUCCGUAACUUCGGGAAAAGGAUAACCCAGCGUACGUGAAGUGCAGAAGCGCAUGGAGCGGAGAUGGGUGGCAGAAGAGAGGCCCAAGCGACUGUUUACCACAAACACAGGCGUCUGCUAAAGCGAAAGCUGAUGUAUAGAUGCUGACACCUGCCCGGUGCUGGAAGGUUAAGAGGAAGUGUUAGCGCAAGCGAAGCAGUGAAUUGAAGCCCCAGUAAACGGCGGCCGUAACUAUAACGGUCCUAAGGUAGCGAAAUUCCUUGUCGGGUAAG